rnacentral:rRNA from 1 species
ACUGAACGCUGGCGGCAGGCCUAACACAUGCAAGUCGAGCGGGGUUUUCGGACCUAGCGGCGGACGGGUGAGUAAUGCGUAGGAAGCUGCCCGAUAGAGGGGGAUACCAGUUGGAAACGACUGUUAAUACCGCAUAAUGUCUACGGACCAAAGUGUGGGACCUUCGGGCCACAUGCUAUCGGAUGCGCCUACGUGGGAUUAGCUAGUUGGUGAGGUAAUGGCUCACCAAGGCGACGAUCUCUAGCUGGUUUGAGAGGAUGAUCAGCCACACUGAAACUGAGACACGGUCCAGACUCCUACGGGAGGCAGCAGUGGGGAAUAUUGGAAAAUGGGCGCAAGCCUGAUCCAGCCAUGCCGCGUGUGUGAAGAAGGCCUUCGGGUUGUAAAGCACUUUCAGCGAGGAGGAAGGGUGGUGUGUUAAUAGCACAUCAUUUUGACGUUACUCGCAGAAGAAGCACCGGCUAACUCUGUGCCAGCAGCCGCCGUAAGAC